UUUUAUGAUGCAUAAUUUUAAUUUUUCAUAAAAGACACAUGCAUAAAUAACAUAUAUAAAUAAUGAUAUUUUUUUUACAUAUUUACUUUUAACAAUUUAUAUUAGUAAUAAUUUUUAUAACAAUAACAUACAUAAAUUGAGGUGGUUAAAUAGUUUUAUCUACAGGUAAUACAAUACAAUGUUAUUAAAGUAUCUUGCAUACAAUACAGUUUUGAUACUAUAGGCCAAUGGUCUCAACUUGUAAAGAAGCAAUAUUUUCAUUUUUUUUAAUUUUCUAAAUUGUAAUAAAAAUACCUGUAUGUGAUACUUUCAGAGAUAAAUUGUGUAAAAAUUUACUCAAAUUUUCUUUUCUUCUUUAAUUUUUUUUAUCUUCUGCACAGAUAUAUCCAAUCUUGUAGUUUCAAAAGAUAAAUAUUUUGCAAAGAUAUUUGGAUAUCUUCUUUAUAUAACUUUGCUUUUAAACUGUGUAACAGUUCUUGAAAAAAAAAAUCAUAUUAAUUAGAUUACAUGAUUUUCGAAGAAAAACACUGCAUUUUUG
rnacentral:lncRNA from 1 species